AUACUUAACUGGCAGGGGAGGUACCAUGAUCACAAAGGUAGUUUUCCCAGGGCGAGGCUUAUUUAUUGCACUCCGGAUGUGCUGACUCCUACGAUUUCCCUAAAUGUGGGAAACUCGACUGCGUAAUUUGUGGUAGUGGAGGACUGCGUUCACACUCUCCCCUG
ensembl:snRNA U1 U1 spliceosomal RNA